AGAUCCAGCGUGUUCUGUGCCUGAUGGAAGGAACAGUGGUUUAAGAAGCAGAGUACUCACGCUAAAAUAACAGCUCUAUUGCUAAUUAAAGAAUUCUGUCAAGGAUGCUAGACUGAAGUUUAACAGUGCUGUUGGAAGGACUUGGGAUCAGUGGACCUUGGCUGUGAACCUCAGUGGUCAGCUUUUAUUGAACUGUACUUUUCUUCUGUUGAUUGUGGUCCAUAUUUCUACAUUGUUUGGAGUGCAUUGUAGCUGUCUUCAGACACACCAGAAGAAGGAAUUGGAUCCCAUUACAUAUGGUUGGCAGCCACCAUGUGCUUGCUGGGGAUUGAACUCAGGACUCUGGAAGAGGAAUUGGUGCUCUUAACUGCUAUUUAUCUCUCCAGCCUUGUUUCUACUUUUAAAAUUGUUUAUUAACUGAGGAGUGAAGCUAAUUCUUUAAAAAGGCUUUAUCACUACUGCCACAUAUAAGCCUUUAUUGUUGAAAUUCCUAAUUUAGAUUAAUAUUAUUAAUUAAAGUUCAUGUAUUGCUGAAUAUCAUCAUGAACAUUCACAGACACAUAUUUUUUCAUUGUUACAAUCCAACAGUAUAUUCCUCAAUUUGUAUAUCUUAUUGCUUGGCAUUGUAACAGAUUCAUUGAUAGAAAUAUCUUCUCUUUGUUAAUAAAAUGGAAAGGAUUCAUAAGAUCAAUUACCUUGUUUCUAGAUGCUGCCAUGGAUACAUACAAACAUACAUACAUACAUACAUACAUCUUAAAUUAAUAAAUAUCAAUUAAAUGUAGCUAUUUUGAACUAAUUAUGGCAUACUUACUGAUUUUCAUUUUUCUUUCUAAAGAAUGCUGUUUUGCUUCAUUUUCUGUGACUAACAAUAGCACAAUAUAGACUGUUAUAAAGAAGAGAGAUUCAUGUUGGCUUACACUACAGGAGUUUUAAAAGCUUGUGGGCCACAUCUAAAUGACUUUUUGGUUCUUACAGAAUUGCAGACACCAUAUAAUAUGAUACAGAUAAUGUGAAUUAGUUUAAUCUCUCUCUCUCAUUUUAUAAAGCUACUAGAAACAAACAUGAGUAUUAGCAUUCAGUGAUUCAACCUCCAUUCUGAUGACUAAAUCUCUUUCUAAAUAUUUCCUAACAUUUCCACCUCUAUCAAAACUAUGUGAUGAAGUCUCAACACUGAUAGUGAAAUACUUUCCACUGGAAAUUAUAUCCCAUAUGAGUUUUGCAGGGACACACCAUUUCCAAUUACACCAAACUACAUCGGCUGUGUUUUAGAACCUCAGAAUUAAUUCUGACUCUACCAAAUAGCAACUGUGAUCCACGACAGUGAGUGCGAUCAUUUGACCGGUUGCUUUGGCUUUCUUUCUGUAAACGGAAAUGAUAUUCAUAGCCAUCUGUCACAAAGUUGCUAUGAGGAUUAACUAAGCUAACAGACUAAUAUGUUGAGUGUCAGCACCGAGACAAACAGGGCUUAAAAUGUAAGUCCAGUGUAAGCAUAAACUAUCUCCACUUCCCAUCUUGAAAACAGUUCUGCUUUUUAAAAUACAGCUUAUUCUCGCCACAGAUUUUAUUUUUCUCGAUCUGUUCAUGCCUUGAAUUGUUUUUGUAAGACUGUAAUUGUUCCUCUGAUUUGAAUUUUACUGAAUCCCGACUGCUGUUCAAGACUUCCUUUAAAGUUCUUAGUCUGGUAAAUCUGAAUUUCAUUUACAUUCAUCUUCACAUCCCAGAUUUCCCUCUUCUUGAGUACUCGCUUUCAUUUCAAUGCAUCUGCAUUCUCUAAGGUCUAACUUAUCACAUGAAUCUUAUAUUUUCUUCUGUUCAAAAUUGUUUGCAAUGACUGUUUUAACAUUGAGCAAUUGACACGGUGUCUACCUAGAGCCUGCACUGCUAUGGACUUGUGUUCAUAAUACUGGAAGGUAUUUUGAAUGUUACCCAUGGAGAAAGGUCAAUGCCAACCCAGUUACAAAAUUUUCAGUCUACAAUGAUGAUCUGCCUGCAAGAUGUGCUAGUGCAAUAGUAGCAAAAAGCUUGUGGAAGUAACCACGAAAUUACAUAACUUGAUUUAGGCCCACUCCAUGAAACUGAGACUGUUUGCAUCAUGGAUUGGAUGGGCAAGAAGCUAAGACCAGAUAGGCCAACAACCUACACCAAUGACCAAGCCAUAGGUUUUAUGAUGUUACAAUAGAAAACAAAAGAUUGGUACACAAAUAUCAGAAAUAGCAAAGACUCUCAAUUAAGGUAUAUACAAAGUGAUUUUAAAUUAAGGAUGAGCUAUGUUAUAAAAGAUAAAAUGAAAAAGAAUAUGGAGAGAUCUCUGGAAAAAUCUUUGUGGAUGACCACUACAACACUCCAGCGAGCUUUGAAAGAACUGGUGGUGACUACUAACAGCCAAUAGUGGAAAUAACCAGCCACAUUUUAUAAUGCAAGAUGAGCCAUUGGACUUCGUUGACUUCAAUUUUACAAAUUUUGGUUUAAAAACAUAAUUAUUUCGAAAUAAUUUACCAUUACCUGGCUUACCUAUUAAAAUCUAUUUUUCAUGAUUUUGACAAUUUCUUUCGAUCCUUCUCUUAGUGAGCUUAAUGUUUUGUGGUUGAAUUUUCAAAGCACGAUUAUGUUUUUUAAACUUUGUUCUCAAUGGUCGGUAUCAAGCUGAAGAUGUUUGAAUUUAAGACUGAAGCAAGAUUGGAUGCUGAGAAGGUUGGUGGUUUUCAAAGCACAGAUAGAGAAUGUUAGUUCUGCCUGGAUCAUGUUCUGUUAUCUCAUUUUUGAUUUGAAGAAGCCAUACAUGGAUGUGCAUGUUUCAGUAUUUAACUUGCCAUUGGAUCUGUGUUUUGCCUUCUACCCCUAUAUGUUUUAUUGGAAAGAGAGGGGAGAACAGAGGAUGGCAAAAAUAACCAUAGCUCUUCAAAGUCUUGACUUCUGGUUCACUUGGAGAUGCCCGAGUGAGGCUCUUAAGGAGGAAAAGAUAAAACCUUUCUGUGCUUCAGGAAAGGUAAUCCCUGUAUAAAACCAUGGAAUAUCUCACAGCUCAGUUGCAGAACUCAAGUUGUUGUUUCACACUCUAAGUGUCUUUCUCAGCACAUUUUAAUGUGCAUAUUUACCUGGAUAUAGCUGUGAUGUAAAGAAUAUAAUGAAUAAAUUAUUUAUUGGC
rnacentral:lncRNA from 1 species